AACGGCCGUACCAUGCUGAAUAUACCGGUUCUCGUUAGAUCACCGAAGUUAAGCAUCAUUGGGCGCGGUCAGUACUUGGGUGGGUGACCACCUGGGAACACUGCGUG
rnacentral:rRNA from 1 species